AAAGCGCACGCAGGCGGUCUGUUAAGUCAGAUGUGAAAUCCCCGGGCUUAACCUGGGAACUGCAUUUGAAACUGGCAGGCUUGAGUCUUGUAGAGGGGGGUAGAAUUCCAGGUGUAGCGGUGAAAUGCGUAGAGAUCUGGAGGAAUACCGGUGGCGAAGGCGGCCCCCUGGACAAAGACUGACGCUCAGGUGCGAAAGCGUGGGGAGCAAACAGGAUUAGAUACCCUGGU
rnacentral:rRNA from 1 species